UGGGGGUUUGUCUUCAGCGCACCAAACACUCAGCAGUCACCUUAAAACACGUGUUAGGACGAAAAACCAUUUCUGCGUUACUGCAGUACAAACUAAACUCGACUUAACUGAUGGGACCAUUAUGGGACAGAGCAAUCCGACUUAGUUUAAAUAAUAAAGUAUGUUGUAACUUAAAGUAAUGGCUGUGUGCGUGUCCUUCAGAUUCCUGUCCCUGCACAGACUGCUGUCAGUUUCCUACAAACAUAGAGACAUACUUGUACAACUCUGUCAGAGAGGGAGGACUGCACGUUUUUCCACUGCUUUUCUGAGGUGUAAGGAGAAUGAAGGAGACAGUUCUGAUGCUUCCCAAGUGAGCAGCAAGCUGAGACGGAGGAGACCCCUGUCCCCGCUGGAGAGGCUCAGCAGGCUGCUGCCGCAGGAGGAUCUGAGCCCAGAGCUGCUGCAGCUGAGGGAUCAGAACCAGCAACCUCAGGAUGCAGACACCCAGAUACCAGCCUCACCCUUCACACCUGCAGCCGCUGAUGCAAAAACCCAGAUACCAGCCUCCCCCUGCACACCUGCAACCCACGAUGCAGACGCCCAGAUACCAGCCUCCCCCUGCACAUCUGCAACCCAUGAUGCAGAAACCCAGAUACCAGCCUCCCCCUGCACACCUGCAACCCACGAUGCAGACGCCCAGAUACCAGCCUCGCCCUGCACACCUGCAGCCGCUGCUGCAGGGCCGGAGCUGGAGGAGUCCCCCCACCCAGAGGAAGGGCAGAUCUCUCCCACCCUCCCCGGGGAGAGCCUUCUCACCUUCGGGGAGUUGCUCAUCGCUGAGUAUCGAAAGAACCGGCGUGUGGAGUUCAGGAAGAUGUUCCUGCUGGAGAGAGGGAAGCGUCUGCAGAGCAGCUGGGGCAUCAUCCUGCACGAUGACAUCCAUGAAAAGCCUGCAGGCUGCUUCCUGAAAACCAGCAGGUGGAUUCCCCUCUUCAUCCGGAGAGCGUCUCUGGAGGAUUAUGUUCUGUACAUGAAGAGGGGGCCGGCCAUCUCCUACCCAAAGGAUGCUGCUGCGAUGCUGCUGAUGAUGGACGUGACGGCGGGAGACUGCGUGCUGGAGUCGGGGUCGGGGUCAGGGGCCAUGUCUCUGUUCCUGUCCAGAGCAGUGGGCUCCAAGGGCAGCGUCCUGAGCGUGGAGGUCAGGGAGGAUCACCACCGCAGAGCUGUGCUGAACUACGAGCGCUGGAGGAAGUCGUGGAGUCUGCGCCGAGGCCAAGACUGGCCCGACAACGUUCAGUUCCACAUAUCCGACCUCCGGGCUGCAUCGUCGCUCCUCAGCGGCCGGGGAUUCAAUGCAGCAGCUCUGGACAUGAUAAACCCCCACCUGGCUUUACCCGCCGUGCUGCCGCACCUGCACCCUGGAGCCGUGUGCGUCGUCUACCUCGCCAAUGUGACCCAGGUCAUCGACCUGCUGGAGGGUCUGCGCUGCUCCUCGCUCCCAUUCCUGUGCGAGCGCGUCGUGGAGGUUCCGGUCCGGGACUGGAUGGUGGUGCCGGCCCUGCAGAAAGAUGGCCGGUACUGGACCAGAAAGGCUGGAACCCUGGAUGAGGACCUAACGGAGGACGAUGAGGCCGAUAAAGAUUUGAAAUGUUUUAAUUCCAGAGGAGUUCAGCGGAGAUAAAGGCCGUGCUCCAGCCUUCGGGAGCGUCCCCUACAUUGCCAGACCUCAUCCUGAACAGAUGAGCCACACAGCAUUCCUGGUGAAGCUGAGGAAGUGUGUGCAUCACCUACCGCCUCUGUGAGGAAUCUUGAACAGAGUUUUAUUUACAAGUCAAAUACUGUUGGGUACAAUUUAAAAUAAAUAAAUAAAUGACUGAGAUCAAAACA